UUAGAGUUUGAUCCUGGCUCAGGAUGAACGCUAGCGACAGGCUUAACACAUGCAAGUCGAGGGGCAGCGAGGGGUAGCAAUACUCUGUCGGCGACCGGCGCACGGGUGCGUAACACGUAUGCAACCUACCCAUAAGCGGGGAAUAACCCGGAGAAAUCCGGACUAAUACCGCAUAGUACGUUCGAGUGGCAUCACUUGAAUUUUAAAGAUUUAUCACUUAUGGAUGGGCAUGCGCAUGAUUAGAUAGUAGGCGGGGUAACGGCCCACCUAGUCAACGAUCAUUAGGGGUUCUGAGAGGAAGGUCCCCCACAUUGGUACUGAGACACGGACCAAACACCUACAGGAGGCAGCAGUGAGGAAUAUUGGUCAAUGGGCGAGAGCCUGAACCAGCCAAGUCGCGUGAAGGAAGAAGGAUCUAUGGUUCGUAAACUUCUUUUUUAGGGGAAUAAAGUGUGGGACGUGUCCCAUUUUGUAUGUACCCUACGAAUAAGGAUCGGCUAACUCCGUGCCAGCAGCCGCGGUAAUACGGAGGAUCCAAGCGUUAUCCGGAUUUACUGGGUUUAAAGGGAGCGCAGGCGGAGAUGCAAGCGUGACGUCAAAUUUCGGGGCUCAACCCCGUCUCGCGUCGCGAACUGCGUCCCUUGGUUGCGGGAAGGGAAGGCGGAACUCGUGGUGUAGCGGCGAAAUGCAUAGAUAUCACGAAGAACUCCGAUCGCGAAGGCAGCCUUCCGACCCGUCAACGACGCUCAUGCUCGAAGGUGCGGGUAUCAAACAGGAUUAGAUACCCUGGUAGUCCGCACAGUAAACGAUGGACACCCGCGGUUUGGUCUAUAUGGCUGAGCCGCCAAGCGAAAGCGUUAAGUGUCCCACCUGGGGAGUACGCCGGCAACGGUGAAACUCAAAGGAAUUGACGGGGGCCCGCACAAGCGGAGGAACAUGUGGUUUAAUUCGAUGAUACGCGAGGAACCUUACCCGGGCUUGAAAUGUACCUGACGAGGCUCAGAGACGAGCCUUUCCUUCGGGCAGGUAUGUAGGUGCUGCAUGGUUGUCGUCAGCUCGUGCCGUGAGGUGUCGGCUUAAGUGCCAUAACGAGCGCAACCCCUUCCGCUGGUUACCAUCGGGUGAUGCCGGGGACUCCAGCGGCACUGCCGCCGCAAGGCGCGAGGAAGGCGGGGAUGACGUCAAAUCAGCACGGCCCUUACGUCCGGGGCCACACACGUGUUACAAUGGGGGGCACAGCAGGCAGGACGCGGGCGACCGCGUUCGAAUCAUGAAAUCCCCUCCCAGUUCGGACUGGAGUCUGCAACCCGACUCCACGAAGCUGGAUUCGCUAGUAAUCGCGCAUCAGCCAUGGCGCGGUGAAUACGUUCCCGGGCCUUGCACACACCGCCCGUCA
rnacentral:rRNA from 1 species